rnacentral:lncRNA from 1 species
AAAUCGAACGGACGGUUCGGCAAGCCUCGAACGUCGAUCGGACCACGCGGAGGCUCGUCAUGUACACCACCACUCGUUUAUCCGCUCCAGGGAUCGUGAUCGGCGGAUCGGAUUUCACAGGUUCCUCAACUUUUGCAAUUUUCUCAGGUAUCACAGAUUUCUCCAGGUUUUCCGAUUUCUCAGCUGCCACCGUCGGUUUUGGUUCUGAUAAAACUUCUUCAGGGGCUGGUUUGGGUCGGGCGGAGAAGGCGCGGGUAAUUCUGGUAGCGAGGUGGACACGAUGGAAGAUGGUUGGUCGUUUAACGUCUUUGGCGACGGAGACGGCGGCUGCGGCGGUGGAGCAAUUAUGUGAUGAUGAAGAUGGUUCUUC